CAUGGCUCAGGACGAACGCUGGCGGCGUGCUUAACACAUGCAAGUCGAACGGAAAGGCCCCUUCGGGGGUACUCGAGUGGCGAACGGGUGAGUAACACGUGGGCAAUCUGCCCUGCACUUCGGGAUAAGCCUGGGAAACUGGGUCUAAUACCGGAUAGGACCUUUAGGCGCAUGUCUUUAGGUGGAAAGCUUUUGCGGUGUGGGAUGGGCCCGCGGCCUAUCAGCUUGUUGGUGGGGUGAUGGCCUACCAAGGCGACGACGGGUAGCCGGCCUGAGAGGGUGUCCGGCCACACUGGGACUGAGAUACGGCCCAGACUCCUACGGGAGGCAGCAGUGGGGAAUAUUGCACAAUGGGCGCAAGCCUGAUGCAGCGACGCCGCGUGGGGGAUGACGGCCUUCGGGUUGUAAACCUCUUUCACCAUCGACGAAGGUCCGGGUUUUCUCGGAUUGACGGUAGGGGAGAAGAAGCACCGGCC
rnacentral:rRNA from 1 species